rnacentral:rRNA from 1 species
GCGCGGGGGCAACCCUGGCGGCGAGCGGCGAACGGGUGAGUAAUACAUCGGAACGUGUCCAGUAGUGGGGGAUAACCAGUCGAAAGAUUGGCUAAUACCGCAUACGAUCUACGGAUGAAAGCGGGGGACCGCAAGGCCUCGCGCUAUUGGAGCGGCCGAUGUCGGAUUAGCUAGUUGGCGGGGUAAAAGCCCACCAAGGCGACGAUCCGUAGCUGGUCUGAGAGGACGAUCAGCCACACUGGAACUGAGACACGGUCCAGACUCCUACGGGAGGCAGCAGUGGGGAAUUUUGGACAAUGGGGGAAACCCUGAUCCAGCCAUGCCGCGUGAGUGAAGAAGGCCUUCGGGUUGUAAAGCUCUUUCGGCGGGGACGAAACGGUUCGUGCCAACACCACGGAUCAAUGACGGUACUCGCAGAAGAAGCACCGGCUAACUACGUGCCAGCAGCCGCGGUAAUACGUAGGGUGCAGGCGUUAAUCGGAAUUACUGGGCGUAAAGCGUGCGCAGGCGGCCUCUUAAGUCAGAUGUGAAAUCCCCGGGCUUAACCUGGGAACUGCGUUUGAAACUAAGAGGCUAGAGUGUGGAAGAGGGGGGUGGAAUUCCAGGUGUAGCAGUGAAAUGCGUAGAGAUCUGGAGGAACACCGAUGGCGAAGGCAGCCCCCUGGGCUGACACUGACGCUCAUGCACGAAAGCGUGGGGAGCAAACAGGAUUAGAUACCCUGGUAGUCCACGCCCUAAACGAUGUCAACUGGUUGUCGGGGAAGUUAUUCCUUGGUAACGAAGCUAACGCGUG